GAUUACUUGCCAAGCGCUUAAAACCCAAAGGACUUGACGGUGCCCUAUAUCCAUCUAGAGGAGCCUGUCCUAUAAUCGAUAAUCCACGUUUAACCUCACCACUUCUAGUUUAUCAGCCUGUAUACCUCCGUCGUCAGCUUACCUCGUGAGCGCUGCAUAGUGAGCAUAAUGUCUUCCAACAACACGUCAGGUCAAGGUGCAGCAAAUGGGGUGGGAAGAGAUGGGCUACACUUUCUACUUUAGAACACACGGAAAACUAUCAUGAAAUCUAGUUUGAAGGCGGAUUUAGCAGUAAAAAGAAACCAUAAUACUCUUUUUAAAUUGGCACUAGGGUGUGUACACACCGCCCGUCACCCUCUUCGAAACAAUUUAUUA
rnacentral:rRNA from 1 species